rnacentral:rRNA from 1 species
CGGGGGGAGCAAGCGUUGUUCGGAUUUACUGGGCGUAAAGGGCGCGUAGGCGGCCACCGCAAGUCGACUGUGAAAUCUCUGGGCUUAACCCAGAACGGUCAGCCGAUACUGCGGGGCUAGAGUGCAGAAGGGGCAACUGGAAUUCUCGGUGUAGCGGUGAAAUGCGUAGAUAUCGAGAGGAACACCUGCGGCGAAGGCGGGUUGCUGGGCUGACACUGACGCUGAGGCGCGAAAGCUAGGGGAGCGAACGGGAUUAGAUACCCCGGUAGUCCUAGCCUUGAACGAUGAAUGCUUGGUGUCUGGGGUUUUAUAGUCCCCGGGUGCCGUCGCUAACGCUUUAAGCAUUCCGCCUGGGGAGUACGGUCGCAAGACUG